GACGAACGCUGGCGGCGUGCUUAACCCAUGCAAGUCGAACGGAGUGGCGAACGGGUGAGUAACACGUGGGUGACCUGCCCUGCACUUCGGGAUAACCCUGGGAAACUGGGUCUAAUACCGGAUAGUGUGGGAUGGGCCCGCGGCCUAUCAGCUUUUUGGUGGGGUAAUGGCCUACCAAGGCGGCGACGGGUAGCCGACCUGAGAGGGGGCACGGCCACAUUGGGACUGAGACACGGGCCAGACUCAGACGGGGGGCAGCAGUGGGGAAUAUUGCGCAAUGGGCGGAGGCCUGAUGCAGCGACGCCGCGUGGGGGAUGACGGCCUUCGGGUUGUAACCUGCUUUCACCAUCGACGCGGUAGAUGGAGAAGAAGCACCGGCUAACUACGUGCCAGCCGCCGCGGUAAUAC
rnacentral:rRNA from 1 species